UUCCCAACUCACUUUAUUUCUUUUAUCUAGCAUCUCAGAAACGGUUUUCUCCCUUCAAGUCUGAAAGGGUGUUCUAAGAAAUGUGGAUCGACAAAGAAAAAGCAAUCGAAAAAAUUUAUCUAAGAUUGCUAGAAAUUUCUACCAUCACCCCAAAUGGAUUAUUUGAAGUCUGUAACUAGAGAUAAACACAAUGAUCAGCCUUUGAUCAAUAGGAACAUGAUAGCACUGAUGGAUUACGUCUCCAAGUUAGCAUUCAUUAUUAUUACGUCGCCAA